UGGAGGAUCAUGCGUCAAAGCGCACCGAAACGAGCAGGAGCAUCCGCCAGACGCAGGGCGACGGCACCUCCGCAGUAAAAGCUUCCUCGGUGCACUGCAGCGGAGGCGCUUUAAAUCUGAAAAGGAGGAUCUGAAGUUGCAUCUUUCUUUCCUGCCUCGCCGCUGCGUUGACGGCAGGGGAUGCAGGUGGAGCGACUCAGCCAGGAACGUUCACAUCUGUCUUAAAGGAGAGAGAGAAGAGGGGGGGUGGAAAACCUGCUUUCUGGUCUGAUCAACGCUCUGGAUAAAAUAAAAAAAAACAAAAACAAGAAACACUGAAGCGCAAAUUGCACCCAGGCUAUAUCCAGGGAUUUGUACAAACCUCCUCAAGUCCUGGAGAAUAAUAUCGGGAGGGAUUGCUGCAAAACACAAGUUUCCCCCAAUGCACACAUCUACAUGAGCAGCGACAGGGCUGAGACGAGGGUGGAUAGGAGACAGAAAGGGAGAGUGAAAGCUGCAGACGGAGAGGGAGAUAAGAACUUAUCCCGGCCUGCCUCCACAAUGAUGGGACCCAUACCUGCAUAAACCUUUGUGGUCGAUAGGUUUCAGGAGAAGCAUGGGCUUACGCUGAAACCAUGAACACAUCAUAUGCUCUAUCAGACGCCGGCAAGCUCUAAUACCCGUCUUCUCUACCGCUCCCUCUCUUUUGCAAAUGUUCUUCUGCUUGUCCUCCCCUUGAAGAAAGAUCACAAUCGGAUGACUCUUCCCCCAAGCCUUUGGCAGCUGCUCACAUUUCCUGGAAAUUGCUUUGAGAUCUGGAUUCCAGAGACAAAGCUUCUAUUUUCAGUUCAGGAUAGACUAAGAGGCUUUUGAAGAAACGACUGUUUGGCAAUUAUCAUACCCCC